AGGCCCGAAAUGUUAACACGGGUGAGCUAGCGGCAAUUAAAGUAAUAAAACUAGAACCAGGAGAAGAUUUUGCUGUCGUGCAGCAGGAAAUCAUUAUGAUGAAAGACUGUAAACAUCCAAACAUUGUUGCUUAUUUUGGCAGCUAUCUCAGACGAGACAAGCUGUGGAUUUGCAUGGAGUUUUGUGGAGGUGGCUCUCUACAGGAUAUUUAUCAUGUGACUGGACCACUUUCCGAACAGCAGAUUGCUUAUGUUAGCAGAGAAACACUACAGGUAGUACGUUCAAAG